AACCUCCGCAAUGUGAGAAAUCGCGACGGGGGGAUCCCAAGUGCCAUUCUUAACGGGAUGGCUUUUCAUUAGUGUAAAGAGCUUUUGGAAUAAGAGCUGGGCAAGACCGGUGCCAGCCGCCGCGGUAACACCGGCAGCUCUAGUGGUAACAAUUUUUAUUGGGCCUAAAGCGUCCGUAGCCGGUUUAAUAAGUCUCUGGUGAAAUCCUGUAGCUUAACUGUGGGAAUUGCUGGAGAUACUAUUAGACUUGAGACCGGGAGAGGUUAGAGGUACUCCCAGGGUAGAGGUGAAAUUCUGUAAUCCUGGGAGGACCGCCUGUUGCGAAGGCGUCUAACUGGAACGGUUCUGACGGUGAGGGACGAAAGUUAGGGGCGCGAACCGGAUUAGAUACUCGGGUAGUCCUAACUGUAAACGAUGCGGACUUGGUGUUGGGGUGGCUUUGAGCUGCUCCAGUGCCGAAGGGAAGCUGUUAAGUCCGCCGCCCGGGAAGUACGGUCGCAAGACUGAAACUUAAAGGAAUU
rnacentral:rRNA from 1 species